UUGGUGUGCAGAAAACAUCCCAGGCUGUCCGAUUCAGGUCUGGAUGUGCAUUUCCACAGUUCCUCAGAGUGGGAAAAGGCCAAGAGGGUGGUGGGAAGGGCUUUCUCCCAAGCCUGGGCAUGCUCAAGACCUAGAAGGUUCUCCACUCCCUGUUCCCCCAUUGGCCCUUGCCCAUCACCACUCCCUCAGAGGUUCCCACUGGCUGCCAUUCCCUAGCCCCGCCUGUGUACCGCCCCUGUGCCCUCAGAUCAUUGGUCUCUGAUGCUCCCUCCGCUCCUGUAUUUAAACCUGGACCCUCCAUUGUUCUUUGUCUUCGUCCCUGGAUCCCUUCACGCGAGUGGCUGCAAUAAACCCCUCCCGUGGAACCCCAUAUGAAGACCCUUCCUACAUCUUUGUCAUGGACCCGUUUUCUGGAGCUAUCCGUGUGCGUGUAUGUGUGUGUGAGUGUGUGGUGGUCCUGCCCAGCGGCUUCGCCUUGGAGACGUUUUCGGAAGGUUGUGGCACCUCACCAUCCGGCACCACAAGCCACUGUGACAUUGGAGUGCCUGUUCAUUCACCCGUUGAGCUUGGAAGAGGAGCUGAGCAGGAAAUUCCAGGGAAGCUGCACUGGCUGUAGCGACUGGAGUGAGAAGCAGUGGCCGCUGUUUGCUGUGUGCUGGUUUGCCUCUUCGCUUUGGUUCCCCGGUGCUCCAGCCCAGGUCUAAGUUGGUGUUCCCUGAGUGGCUGCAGCUCCCUGGAUGCGGAGGGAGGAGGUCUCUGCUGGAGAGUGGGAGAAAUGUCCCUGCUGGCUGCUGUGUGCCUGGUGGGCAGAGAACUCUGGUCUUGGCAGGAUGGGUUUGUGAGUAUUUAAUCAAUCCCACCUCCUUUUCAUGAGGUGUUUCAAUGAGCCAUCAGCAGGGAUCACUUUUAGCCGGUUUUAGUUAAGUUUCUUUUUCACAGAUUUAUUGCUGUUUUGAUCAUGAAAUCACCAAAACCUUACAUUUGCUAAAUUAACCCUGAAAAGCUUCAAUGAACAAAUCCUGAGGGAAUUGGGGAUUGAAUAUCUGGGAUCUUAUGGCCCUUCAAGAACGUGGUAGGUUGACUCCCUGAUUUUGGUGCCAAGGGAAACUCCCAAGUUAAGAAUAAUAAAAAUAUGAACCAGUUCUCAUGAAACUCAGCUUUCCAAACCUUUAUUUAGGAUCAAAAUAGAUUGGAAUGCCUUUGGCAGAAAAGCACCUGUGAAGCCAAGCAGACUUAAAAUGCCUGUAAGAACAUUACAGAAAAUCAUCAUGUUUAUAUAUAUACACAUCUAGAGAUAGAUAUAAAAUAGAUAUUUUGUAGCAGUUGCAGGUAAACUGUCAGGGUUGGGUUUUGAAAUGUUUUUUUAACUAUAAAGCAUUCUAUAAUUAUGCAUGUGAUUUUUAACAUUUAAUAUACAAGACUAAAUCUCUUGCUGGUUUUAGAGUAUUGCAUUAAAAGUCUAUGUGGUUUCUCUUCUUUCCCUGUUCCAGGAGAGUUCUUAGGAAACUUCUGUUAUCUGUAAGAAAGCCGUAACAUCAGUGCUUUUAUCUAAACUUGAUGUAUUGUUAUCUGUAUUAUUGUUUAUAUGCAUUGUUUUAGACAGAACUAGGAGAAAAUUGAAGAAUGGAAGAGAAAAUUGAAGGAAAAGGAUGUAGAGAAGGGCAGAGAAAGAAUGUAGAGAACCUAAUUUAGGAUUGAAAUCCAUCAGUCUGUUGGUUCAGGCUCCUGGCAGGAAGAGGUUGGUGAGGAACUUUCACAUAAGCAGUAGUGUAGGUUUGCAGAGGGGUUUGACAGCACCUCUCCCAUGGACUGUUCGUGUUAGCAGAGGAUUAAAGAUGUCAGUCACGUGAAAGAGAACACUGUUUUGUACAGUUUGUUGCCAGCAUCCAAGUGUGUCUUGGCCUGCAGAAGUGCUGCAGCAUUUCAUGGCUCUGCAUCACUUGGUGACAAGACAGGAAAGCGAGUCCUGCGUGUGCAGAGAUCCAUCAGUUGGUGUUGACUGCAUGUGUUCCAUGGGCUUGUCCCAGCCAGACAACGGUGUGGGGGACACUCUGCACCCCAGCCAGAGCAGGGAGGGCUGAGAGGGACAGAGGGUUCUCCCCAGCCUGCUGGGAGCAGUGUGACACGAGGCAGGUGCCUGCAAAGGUGCAUCUCAUGGAGAUGGGCCCAUGAUGUUGGUUUGCCGUGUACCUGAGACCCCUGGCACGUGUCUGUAUCUCAUUUUGUAAAGGGUGAGUGUUGCACAGAACAAUACCUCAAUACUGAGGUAUUUGGUAAUUUGGGAUGUUGUGUGCUGUGGGUUUUGGGGGACCCUUCUGUGUUUUGGGUGGUUCACACUGGAAAGUUUCGGGUAUAGGUGAUUCUGAUCUGCUGGGGUUUGUGCUGCAUGUCCCACUACAAGCUCUGAGCAAAGGAAGGAGAUGGCAGCUCUCACUGAGUUGGCAUUCUUGGCCUGAGCAGUCGUGGAAGCAGCAGGCAGGUUUCUUGCCUUGUGGUGUUAAGGCUGAUAUCCAGUGCUAAAGAAAAUUCCUCUCUUUUCAUAUGCCAGUGGCACUGAAGGAGAGGGAAGGACUGGGGCAGAGUACUAGGAAACUCGGAAUUUCAGGCGUGACUCAAAAGAAAGCUCAGAGUGCAAAAAGGGAAAUCUGUGCCCAAACCUUGAGGCAGGUUUGCUGUCUGUUCUCAUGCAAUUGUGUCUUCUGAAAAUUAGACCAUUUUAUUCAUUGUGCUGUGCAAAACACUUCUCACUUCUCAUAAUGCCAGGAAACAGAUGAUACUAAAACUUGAAGGAAUUUAGAUGUGUAAAAACAAGCUGCUCUUUCUUCUGCAGUGCGAGGUGUUUGAUGUUAGGGAAUCCUGAAGAGCAAGGAAAAGGUUAUAGUUGUGUUCGUCUCUCUUUAUUUAUUACCCCCUUGUUUUUUGAAACAGAGAAGUAACUGGGAAGGUUACAGGAAAUAAAGCUGGAUGUAAUAAAUCCCUGAAUCUUAAUAACCAAAGAGGCUUAAUGGAGAAGUUAAUGCUCCUAUGAGGGGAUUAUUUUUGAACUCAGAGGAAGUACACACUGCAGAACCAUAAAAUGCCACCUGCAGGAGCCUCAGUCAGAUUGGACUUUUUGUCACUUCCUCACGUUGUUUUUCUUAUUUUUAAUCUCAAGGGCUGACACUGUCAUCCUUCCUUGUGGUCUUGGCCUUCCCAGCACAGCAUUGGGUGGAUCCUUCUGUCUCUGCUGGAGGUGCAGCUUCACAGACGAGGAGUGGAUUCACUGCUGGGGAAGGGGAGGCCAAAGCUGCUGUGUGUGAACUGGCAGAGGGACUGGCCUGAUUUAAACAACUGAACACAGCAGAGUCACAAAGUGACUCUGCUGCUCUCCAAGCUCCUGCCAGGAUUGUGGACACAGGUGGAAAUUAAGGGAAGGUGACCCAGAUCGAGCUAUUCGUUGGUGAAAUUGUUUGUUAGGGAAAGAAUGUAAGAAUCUUGGGCUGAAUGGGUUUUUUUCCCAUGAAAUGCCAAAAGCAAUGUUGGAAAACUUACUGAUUCUAUUGGCAAUGGCUAUACACUCUUGCACUUACCCUAUUACUUUUCCUUUCAAGUAACUGGAAAUUCAGAGACUGUUCAAAUGGAAUUGUUGCCUGUCCAUGGUGUUUUCUUGGCUGUUUUCCAAAACAAAAAUACUUGGUCAGUAAUAGUUAAAAACUCCUGAAAUGCAUUUGUUUGUGACCAAUGAAAAUGCCAAGAAACACCACCAGGAGAAGGUGAUGCAUUAAUUCUUGCAUGGAGAUGAACCUCCAUAGUGGGGAUGAACCUCCAUAGUUAUGCAUAGUGGGGAAACUUCUCUGCCCCUUCAGAGCACAGGCAUGGGACUGAGUUUGGGUUGAUUUGACCCAAGGCAGCCCAGGCUUCCCUGCCUGUGGGCCAGGUUCAGGGCCAGCUCUGUGUCCUGGCUGCCCACACACACCUUGACGUGCUGUGUGUGCUGCAGGAACCAUCAGGAAAUGUUCCUGCUUUUCUCAUGCCCCUCUUGCUCAGUCUCAAAGUCACCAUAGGAUUUCCAAAGAACCUGCAACAGAGAAGCCUCUCAUCACGUUCAUUCAGAGCACAGUGAGAUACUGGGAGGGGAAGAGAAAGGAUAAAGGUGAAAUUUCCCUGAGAGAAGGUUGGGAGAUCAGGGUGUUCACAGGUGGCACAGGCUGGGAUUAGGGCUGAGCAGGACCCAACCUGGUGCACAUCAUCCAUCAGCUUUCACCUCAUGUUUUAUCGGGGUUUAUGGCCCUACCAAGAGGCAGAUGUUGAGUCCCAGGCCGAACCAUGGCAGUAAAUGGUUCUGUUUGAGCUGGUGGUUUAUUUACAUUACAUGUUCAUCAGCCAUACUCUCUAAUAAGUCCUGGGGUUUGUUCUUGAUUUUCUUUCAGCCUUACAUCCAACUUUCCACCACUUUUCUUCUGUCUCUCUGGUGUGUCUUUUGUGUUCCUUUCUUGUCCUGUGUGUUCCCCAUCCCAUUCCCUUUCACUACUUCACUCUCUCGUUCUUGUUUUUCUUUAAGUAAAUACUCAAUAUUUAUUUAAUAAAUAUUGCUCAAUCUCUCUCCCUAUUGUCUCUCCUUUUUGUCUGUCUCCCUCCCUGCCCGCAUUUUCUUCCUCUCCUUAUUCCUUUGCCCUGCACCGUGACUGUAUGUCCCUCUCACUGUCCUUUUGCCUGUACCUGUCUGGAUCUGCUGCUCAGUCCCUCUCCCUCACUGCACUCUUCUCUUUAUAACCCUCUGCCCUGCUGCCCGUCCCUCUCUUUCUCCAUCCCUCUGCUGUGCCUUGCCCAUCUUCCCCCCACACCCACCUGCCGUGGUCAUUUCCUCUCUCUGUCCUUGUUUCCCUCUUUGUGUCCCUCUGUCCUUCCUGUGUAAUUACCACUCUGUCUUUAUUUUAUAUAUACUGGCAAGUAAUACUAAUUUAUAUAUUAAUUCAUUUCGAAACAAACCCUCUCUAACUACUAUAUUAUAUACAGGAAUAUAAGAAACUCUGAAUAUAGAUCUGUAGGGUUUGAAAAUAAUGACAUAACGUUUUUACAUACGAAUGAAACAAUAAAGCGCC
rnacentral:lncRNA from 1 species